UACAGAGGUCUCAAGCGUUAAUCGGAAUUACUGGGCGUAAAGCGUGCGCAGGCGGUUUUGCAAGCCGGAUGUGAAAUCCCCGGGCCCAACCUGGGAAUGGCAUUCGGGACUGCAAGGCUGGAGUGCGGCAGAGGAGACUGGAAUUCCUGGUGUAGCAGUGAAAUGCGUAGAUAUCAGGAGGAAUACCGAUGGCGAAGGCAGGUCUCUGGGCUGACACUGACGCUCAUGCACGAAAGCGUGGGGAGCAAACAGG
rnacentral:rRNA from 1 species